CGUGUCUGUCGCCUCGCCUGUCGACCACGGCGCCGGCCCUUGAGACGAGCAAGCUGCUGCCUCGUCCAUCAUCAUCGUCCGACGAUGACGUCCUACGUCGCUCACCGUCGCCUGACGAUGACGUCCAACGUCGCCCAUCGUCCGACGAUGUCGCUAACUCGUCCUCGUCUCUCUCGGUCGCCCGCGAGCAACUUUAUCCUUGAUUGCAUCCUUCACUAAUCCUUGACUAACUGCAUCGCUUCAGGUGACGAUGAAGGCGAGCGAUGCACUAAAUUCGGCAGCGGCGUAGGACGAAGAUCGUUAACGGAGGCGACGAAUGAAGUGACGUGCGGUGAAAUGGUCGUCGCAGACGAGGUAAAUCUCGGUGCUAAGACUGGCAGUAAAGCUACCGGAAGUGGAAGUAAAGGUACCGGAAGUGAAAGUAAGAAUACCGGAAGUGGCAGUAAAGUUACCGGAAAUGGAAGUAAAGGUACCGGAAGUGGCAGUAAGAAUUCCGGAAGCAAGAAUACCGGAAGGGGAUAUAAGAAUAGCGGACAUGGCAGUAAGAAUAGCGGCAGUGGUCGUAGAAAUAGUGGCAGUAGUGGCAUGAGAGAUGGCACAGCAAGGGAAGCUGUCAGCAGCGCCAGCACGAGUCAGACAGCUGACACUGAACAUCCUUCGAUGCCUGGCACGCCGCUUAGCAGCGCGUCAGCCGUCAGCGGCGGCAGCGACACGUCAUCAGCCAGCGCAUCUUCGUCGCAGGCGCUGCUGCUGACAUCGCCCUCGUCAGCCACUGCUGGCGCCAGCAUCGUCUGAUACUGCCGCAGUAAAUGUUAUUGUUGCAUUUGUGUACGAGUUGAGAUGAAUAAAUGUCUGACGAAAAUGAAUGAAUAAGAUCUGGUAUAUAACCACAUGAAUCUGUUAAGUUAGUGAAAAUUAUAUUAUAUACUAAUAAAUUUAAGGAGAUCAUUUGGCUUAGCGAGCUGUACAUAUAACCUCAUUCAUCACUCAUCCAGUGUUGCUGUCUUCCCGAUUUAAUUUUGUGCAACUAUCAUGCAAAUUAUUGUUAAUUUGUGUCAUGAUUGCAUAUGAGCGAAAUUUUCAACUUACUGUCAUAAAAAAUGUUGGUAUUCUAGAAUUAUCUUUAUUUGUACAUUUUCUUUAGAGUAUCGUGCAUUGAGCUGUUGUAUCAUAGUCGAGCUUAAUGAUACUGAAACUAUCUGAUCAUAUAAAUGGUAGUUAAUAAGUCUUGUUGGGUUCCUAUUUAAGCGUUAGGCUCCUGGGAAAGUAUGUCUGCUAUUUUCCUCUUUUAUCUUUAAAUGCUACGCUAAUUUUCUCAUAUGAAUCUCCCGAGACUCUGGCCACAUUCCUAGUUAUUAUUCUGGUGCUAGAAAUGACAUCACAUUCUUUUUUGUAUAUAUUAGAAAUUCACUAAACCUUAUCAUUCUUUUGUAAACGUUUCGUGAUUUGUUUGAUCGUCUUCGUUCUUUUGUAAACAAUUUGGUUUCUAUUAGACAUGUUCGUUCUUCACUCGACUUAUUCGUUUUGUCCUGACGCAUCCGUCCUGACCUCGACGCAUUAUUUUUUUCCUCUACGUUAUCCUUCGUUCCCCGCCGUGUUGCUCUCUUCGCUCCAUACUUGACUUUUUCGACGGAUUGUUUCUUUCUCGACGCACUCGCUUUUCUUUCUCGAUAUUUAGUUCAAUUUUCCUCGUAGGUUUCGUUCAGUUCUUCUCGGAUAUUUCAUUCAGUUCUUCUCGGAUAUUUCAUUCAAUUCUUCUCGGAUUUUUCGUUCAGUUUUUCUUAACGUAUUCGUUCUUUCAUCGACGUAAUCGUAAUUUUCUCGACGUGUCGCUAUAUUUUGAAUAUAAUUAUGUUGAGUUUCCCUUCUCUAGACGACCUUAUCCUCUUGGUACAGUGUCCCUGUGUCUUCUAAAUCGAAGGCAAAUUUAGCUUGGGUAUUAUUAGGUUUUUCAAGUGUUGUAAUGUACAAGUAUUACAUGGUCUACUGUAAUGUGGAAUUAAAAGUUGUACUCGUGUAGUUAACCUUCUUAUUAUGUACAUAACAUGAUUAAAAUCUCUUUCAUUCCAGACAGUAGUUAGUCUGUCCUAACACAUUCAUGGUAAGUUAAUCAGUGAAGAAGAAACAAUCAAGUAAUCUUGAUUUCUAAUGUUACAUGCCUGCUAGAAUCGUGCGACCGAGAUCUUACGAGUCUUCUUGUAUUUAUAUAUUCGUGCAACUGUUCAUGACCUGAUAAUUAUCUACGUUUAAUUAUUAUUCAAUUAAUUAUAUACGCAUAUGUAUGUUU